GUGCUCAUUCUAGUAGCACAUGUACUAAACUUGGAAUAAUAACAGAGAAGAUUAGCAUGGCCUCUGGACAACAUGACAUGCAAAUUCAUGAAACGUUCUGUAUUUUC
rnacentral:snRNA from 1 species